rnacentral:rRNA from 1 species
GACGAACGCUGGCGGCAUGCCUAAUACAUGCAAGUUGAACGAUGAUAUUCUCUGCUUGCAGAGAAUUGAAGAGUAGCGAACGGGUGAGUAACACGUGGGGAACCUGCCCAUGAGAGGGGGAUAACAUUCGGAAACGGAUGCUAAUACCGCAUAAUGCUUUGGACCGCCUGGUCCAGAGACGAAAGACGGCUUUUGCUGUCACUCAUGGAUGGCCCCGCGCCGUAUUAGCUAGUUGGUGAGGUAAUGGCUCACCAAAGCUGUGAUACGUAGCCGACCUGAGGGGGUGAUCGGCCACACUGGGACGGAGACACGGCCCAGACUCCUACGGGAGGCAGCAGUAGGGAAUCUUCCACAAUGGGCGAAAGCCUGAUGGAGCAAUGCCGCGUGAAUGAAGAAGGUCUUCGGAUCGUAAAGUUCUGUUAUUAGAGAAGAACAAGUCAAGGAGUAACUGUCUUGACUUUGACGGUACCUAACCAGAAAGUCACGGCUAACUACGUG